ensembl:lncRNA
AAAAUUUUCUUUUGUGUUAAACUUGCAAUGGAGUAUUGGAUUCCUUGGUUCAUUUGAAAAUAAGAGGCCUUUAUCAAAAUGUUAAGCUUGGUUAAUUUGCAUAAAAUAUUUCCUCUGCAAUUUACUCUCUAUUACUUUUGAAAAGCAAAUUGCCUCAGCUGCAAUGUGGGGUGGUUGUAAUGGCAGGCAAGCUAUUAGAGCUCAUGGUUGUAGGCAGUGAACAUGUCUCAGGUUUGGAGCUCAAGGAAAUAAAUUGGAAUCUGGCCUCGUCUCACUCCCUUGGGUCAUCUGAGCUCAUCUGGAGAAGAAAAGGAAGAAAAGGAACUCCGGUUGCCAAGGGCUUCCCAGGUGGCUCAGUGAUAAAGAUCUGCCUGCCAAUACAGGAAAUGCAGGAGAUGCGGGUCUGAUCCCUCAGUCAGGAAGACCCCCUGGAGAAGAGAAUGGCCACCUCCUCCAGUAUUCUUGCCUGGAGAAUUCCAUGGACAGAGCUGCCUGGCGGGCUGUAGUCCAUAGAGUCACAAAGAGUCGAACACAACUGAGCAACAAAGCAUGCACACAUGUCUCCUUAAUAAACUUUCAUAAAAACUGCCAAACGUGAUGUUCAGAGGGCUUCUGGGUUGGUGAAUGCACUGAGGUACCAGGAGGUGGUACGCCUGGAGAGGGCAUGGAAGCUCUGUGCCCCUUGCCCCAUCCUUGCCCUAUGUACCUCUUCCAUUUGGCUGUUCCUGGAUUGAAUCCUUUAUAAUAAACCCACUAACAGUAAGUAAACCGCUUCCCUGAGUUCUGUGAGUUGUUCUGGUGAGUUACUGA